CCUACGGGGGGCUGCAGUGGGGAAUAUUGGACAAUGGGGGCAACCCUGAUCCAGCCAUGCCGCGUGUGUGAAGAAGGCCCUCGGGUUGUAAAUCACUUUCAGUGAGGAAGAACGCCUGGUGGUUAAUACCCAUCAGGAAAGACAUCACUCACAGAAGAAGCACCGGCUAACUCCGUGCCAGCAGCCGCGGUAAUACGGAGGGUGCGAGCGUUAAUCGGAAUUACUGGGCGUAAAGCGCGCGUAGGUGGCUUGAUAAGCCGGUUGUGAAAGCCCCGGGCUCAACCUGGGAACGGCAUCCGGAACUGUCAAGCUAGAGUGCAGGAGAGGAAGGUAGAAUUCCCGGUGUAGCGGUGAAAUGCGUAGAGAUCGGGAGGAAUACCAGUGGCGAAGGCGGCCUUCUGGACUGACACUGACACUGAGGUGCGAAAGCGUGGGUAGCAAACAGGAUUAGAUACCCUUGUAGUC
rnacentral:rRNA from 1 species